GCCGGGCGCAGUGGCGUGCGCCUGUAAUCCAAGCUACUGGGAGGCUGAGGCUGGCGGAUCGUUUGAGCUCAGGGGUUCUGGGCUGCAGUGCACUAUGCCGAUCGGGUGUCCGCACUAAGUUCGGUAUCGAUAUGGUGCUCCUGAGGGAGCUCGGGACCACCAGGUCGCCUAAGGAGGGGUGAACCGGCCCAGGUCGGUGACGGAGCAGGUCAAAGCCCCCGUGCCGAUCAGUAGUGGGAUCGCGCCUGUGAAUAGACGCUGCAGUGCAGCCUGAGCAAGACAGCGGGACCUAGUCUUUU
ensembl:misc_RNA Metazoa_SRP Metazoan signal recognition particle RNA